GUAUUACUCCCUCCUUUACAUAAUUCUUGUCUCAAAUUUGUCCAAAAAUGGAUGUAUUUGUUCUUAAAAAAUGUCUAGAUACAUGUAAGAUUUCGACAAGAAUUAUGGAAGGGAGGGAGUAUUUG
rnacentral:pre_miRNA from 1 species